rnacentral:rRNA from 1 species
CACUACACGCUAUCUAUUGAUAGUUGUAGUUGUUCUAGAUAGUGCAAUAUUGACAAUCACAGCACGAUCCUACAUAUUCAAUACAGAGUGAGCACGGACAUUCUUUGUUGUCGUACCAGUUUCCGAAUGUACAAUCCCUGUAAAGGGAGGAAUUUAUUACAUCCUAUUCACCGGUGUCCAACCGACUGCAACAUCUUUUUCCACCAUCAAUCCGUACGCUACAUCGUUACCCCAACGCGAAUGCUCUUAUGUAGUAUGUCCACCAAGAGCUCAUGGGCAACAAGCAGGAAUAAACAUGCUGCCAUUAUAAUUGCCGGAACAUUGGUUGGACUAUCAUUUCCACUAUUCAACAUGAUAAAUCUCCGGCUUGUCAGAGACCCUCUAGAGCUGGCAUUCAAGUAUCCUCGUCCAACAUUGCCUCCAUACAUGACACCAAUUGAGCCUCAGGUCGGUAAAUUCUACAAUAGUCCCGUGGCGCUAGGAUCCGGGGCGGGAGCUGUACUUAGCGUUCCAAUCGCUGCAUUGGGCGCAAAACUAAAUACCUGG